rnacentral:rRNA from 1 species
CCUACGGGGGGCUGCAGUGAGGAAUAUUGGUCAAUGGGAGGAAUCCUGAACCAGCCAAGCCGCGUGCAGGACGACGGCUCUACGAGUUGUAAACUGCUUUUGUACGGGGGUAAAAUGCUCUACGAGUAGGGUUUUGUAUGUACGGUAUGAAUAAGGAUCGGCUAACUCCGUGCCAGCAGCCGCGGUAAUACGGAGGAUCCGAGCGUUAUCCGGAUUUAUUGGGUUUAAAGGGUGCGUAGGCUGCUUUUUAAGUUAGCGGUGAAAUACCGAUGCUCAACCUCGGGGCUGCCGCUGAUACUGGAGGACUAGAGUACGGAUGCGGCAGGCGGAAUGCCUGGUGUAGCGGUGAAAUGCGUAGAUAUCAGGAGGAACCCCGGUGGCGAAGGCGGCCUGCUGGGCUGCGACUGACGUUGAGGCCCGAAAGCGUGGGGAGCGAACAGGAUUAGAUACCCUAGUAGUC